GCAAGUCGAACGAGAAAGGGAUUGCUUGCAAUCCUGAGUAGAGUGGCGCACGGGUGAGUAACACGUAGAUAAUCUGCCUUCAAGCCCGGGAUAACUAUUCGAAAGGAUAGCUAAUACCGGAUAAAGUCGGUUUACACAAGUAGACUGAUGAAAGAUUGCCUCUUCUUGAAAGCAAUUGUUUGGAGAUGAGUUUGCGUACCAUUAGCUUGUCGGCGGGGUAAAGGCCUACCAAGGCAACGAUGGGUAGCCGGUCUGAGAGGAUGAUC
rnacentral:rRNA from 1 species